rnacentral:rRNA from 1 species
AGAGUUUGAUCCUGGCUCAGAUUGAACGCUGGCGGCAGGCUUAACACAUGCAAGUCGAACGGUAGCAGGAAGAAAGCUUGCUUUCUUUGCUGACGAGUGGCGGACGGGUGAGUAAUGCUUGGGAAUCUGGCUUAUGGAGGGGGAUAACUGUGGGAAACUGCAGCUAAUACCGCGUAUUCUCUGAGGAGGAAAGGGUGGGACCUUAGGGCCACCUGCCAUAAGAUGAGCCCGAGUGGGAUUAGGUAGUUGGUGGGGUAAAGGCCUACCAAGCCUGCGAUCUCUAGCUGGUCUGAGAGGAUGACCAGCCACACUGGAACUGAGACACGGUCCAGACUCCUACGGGAGGCAGCAGUGGGGAAUAUUGCGCAAUGGGGGGAACCCUGACGCAGCCAUGCCGCGUGAAUGAAGAAGGCCUUCGGGUUGUAAAGUUCUUUCGGUAAUGAGGAAGGGAUGUUGUUAAAUAGAUAGCAUCAUUGACGUUAAUUACAGAAGAAGCACCGGCUAACUCCGUGCCAGCAGCCGCGGUAAUACGGAGGGUGCGAGCGUUAAUCGGAAUAACUGGGCGUAGAGGGCACGCAGGCGGACUUUUAAGUGAGAUGUGAAAUCCCCGAGCUUAACUUGGGAACUGCAUUUCAGACUGGGAGUCUAGAGUACUUUAGGGAGGGGUAGAAUUCCACGUGUAGCGGUGAAAUGCGUAGAGAUGUGGAGGAAUACCGAAGGCGAAGGCAGCCCCUUGGGAAUGUACUGACGCUCAUGUGCGAAAGCGUGGGGAGCAAACAGGAUUAGAUACCCUGGUAGUCCACGCUGUAAACGCUGUCGAUUUGGGGAUUGGGCUAUAUGCUUGGUGCCCGAAGCUAACGUGAUAAAUCGACCGCCUGGGGGAGUACGGCCGCAAGGUUAAAACUCAAAGGAAUUGACG